rnacentral:rRNA from 1 species
UACGGAGGGAGCUAGCGUUGUUCGGAAUUACUGGGCGUAAAGCGCGCGUAGGCGGCUUUGUAAGUUAGAGGUGAAAGCCCGGAGCUCAACUCCGGAACUGCCUUUAAAACUGCAUCGCUUGAAUCCAGGAGAGGUGAGUGGAAUUCCGAGUGUAGAGGUGAAAUUCGUAGAUAUUCGGAAGAACACCAGUGGCGAAGGCGGCUCACUGGACUGGUAUUGACGCUGAGGUGGCGAAAAGCGUGGGGAGCAAACAGG